rnacentral:rRNA from 1 species
UCCAGACUCCUACGGGAGGCAGCAGUGGGGAAUAUUGGGCAAUGGGCGCAAGCCUGACCCAGCAACGCCGCGUGAAGGAAGAAGGCUUUCGGGUUGUAAACUUCUUUUAAGAGGGAAGAGCAGAAGACGGUACCUCUUGAAUAAGCUCCGGCUAACUACGUGCCAGCAGCCGCGGUAAUACGUAGGGAGCGAGCGUUAUCCGGAAUUACUGGGUGUAAAGGGAGCGUAGACGGCGAGGUAAGCCUGAAGUGGAAGCCCGCGGCCCAACCGCGGAACUGCUUUGGGAACUGUUUUGCUGGAGUAUGGGAGGGGUAAGCGGAAUUCCUGGUGUAGCGGUGAAAUGCGUAGAUAUCAGGAGGAACACCGGUGGCGAAGACGGCUUACUGGACCAUAACUGACGUUGAGGCUCGAAAGCGUGGGGAGCAAACAGGAUUAGAUACCCGAGUA